ACAGGGUAACUCUUGUUAAUAAUGGGACUAAUGGAUCAAAACAAUCUCAAAACUACUUUUCCUCCUGUUGCUCCAGGUGACAUCUGUUCUUCUCAUCUCAAAAUGGCAUACAAGUUCAGGGCUUUUUCGUGGUUGGUUUGUUGAUUUAAUUUGGGUGGUUGCUUUGUUUCUUGAUGAAUAUGUCUUCAGGUUCUUUAAUCGCAAAACAAGUUUAUACUAUAGAGAUAAAUUAUUUAGUUCAAUCCGAAAAAGGGCAGACAGGAAUUUGUGCUUUAGUUACAAGAAUUAUGUAAUCGUACAAUGAAGUGAAUGAUCACUUUUACUUUGUGAGCUAUCAUGUUUACUAAAGGGUCAAAAGUAACUAUUUUAUUUGUUAGUUCUUUUCCUCUAUUUA
rnacentral:misc_RNA from 1 species